UACGAAGGGGGCUAGCGUUGCUCGGAAUUACUGGGCGUAAAGCGUGCGCAGGCGGUGAUGUAAGACAGUUGUGAAAUCCCCGGGCUCAACCUGGGAACUGCAUCUGUGACUGCAUCGCUGGAGUACGGUAGAGAGGGAUGGAAUUCCGCGUGUAGCAGUGAAAUGCGUAGAUAUGCGGAGGAACACCGAUGGCGAAGGCAAUCCCCUGGACCUGUACUGACGCUCAUGCACGAAAGCGUGGGGAGCAAACAGG
rnacentral:rRNA from 1 species